GACACUAGACACUAUAUUGAUAUUGACAUGGACGGAAGCGAACAACCUUCGAAAAACAAUUUCCCCGAAAAGGAUGAACACGAGGAUCAAGCAUCUCUAUAUGCUCACGAAAAAAAGCCUCAGAUAGAUAAUUUUGAAUACGAAUCAAAACAGCAGGAGUCUCAUAGCGAAGAUAAAGAGGCCUCUCACCUGACUUUGAGGGUUCGUUCUCAGGAUGGUACCUUGACAGCAUUCAAGUUAAAACAAAACGUGCCGAUUGGAAAAUUGAUGAACGUAUUUUGCGAGAAGCAAAAAGUCUCAAGAAAUGCUAUCCGAUUUUUAUUUGAGGGAACGCGGCUGCGCGAAACGCAAACGCCUAAGGAACUAGGGAUGGAGGAUAAUGACUACAUUGAUGCAGUGCUAGAACAGACAGGGGGUGCUCUCGUCAUUAACCUUAGAACUUAAAUGCGAGACGCAUUUUUGCACAGAGAAAAUUUAAAAGAGGGAAUGCGUAACCAUCUGUGAAAUAGAGUUUACUUAUGUAAAGUACGAGCGCGUGCUGGAUGUACUUAAAAAUUGCGAGAAAGCAAUAAAAAAGAGAGGCGAAGGCCGAAUGGGUGA